UGGGGCCUACGGGGCGCAGCAGUGGGGGAUAUUGCACAAUGGGGGGAACCCUGAUGCAGCGACGCCGCGUGGGCGAUGGAGUGCUUCGGCAUGUAAAGCCCUAUCAGCAGGGAAGAAAAUGACGGUACCUGACUAAGAAGCCCCGGCUAAAUACGUGCCAGCAGCCGCGGUAAUACGUAUGGGGCAAGCGUUAUCCGGAUUUACUGGGUGUAAGGGGAGCGUAGGCGGCCUGGCAAGCCUGAUGUGAAUUACAG
rnacentral:rRNA from 1 species